rnacentral:rRNA from 1 species
UACGGAGGGGGCUAGCGUUGUUCGGAAUUACUGGGCGUAAAGCGCACGUAGGCGGCUUUGUAAGUUAGAGGUGAAAGCCCGGGGCUCAACUCCAGAACUGCCUCCGAUACUGAGGAUCUUGGAGUCCGGGAGAGGUGAGUGGAACUCCGAGUGUAGAGGUGAAAUUCGUAGAUAUUCGGAAGAACACCAGUGGCGAAGGCGGCUCACUGGCCCGGUACUGACGCUGAGGUGCGAAAGCGUGGGGAGCAAACAGG